rnacentral:lncRNA from 10 species
GGUUUUUAUAUGUACCAAUGGGUGACUGCUUCACAUUGCUGAAUAGUGUUCCAUGAUACGGAUCUACUACAGUUUGUUUAGUCAUUCACCCAUGUACAAACAUCUAGGUAGUUUCUGGUUAUUGACUAUUGUGAAUAAAGCUGCUAUAUACAAUCAUGUACAUGUUUUGUGUCAACAUAAGGCUUGAUUUCUUUGGGAUAAAUGUUUAAGAAUGUUAUAGCCGAAUUAUAUGGUAGUUGC